AGAGUCAGAUCAUAAAUAUUUAUUUCCUAAGUGAAUGGACUAUUAGAAGCGGUUGCAUCUGCAUUUACCUUGGCCACCCUCCCCACUCUUUGUGCACUUGUGAGACAGAUUGCUUUUUGGAGGGGGACUUUAUUGGACCUUUCUUUUUGGCUCUCUGUCUACUUAAUUAAUAUAAACUCAAUUUAUUUUAAAAUGAAUGUAAUGGAUGUAACACAUCUAAUACUAAGUUUCAACAACGGAUCUCUUGGCUCUCGCAUCGAUGAAGAACGCAGCGAAAUGCGAUAAGUAAUGUGAAUUGCAGAAUUCAGUGAAUCAUCGAAUCUUUGAACGCACCUUGCGCUCCUUGGUAUUCCUUGGAGCAUGCCUGUUUGAGUAUCAUGAAAUCUUCAAAGUAAUAUCUUUUGUUAAUUCAAUUGGUUUUGCUUUGGUAUUGGAGGUCUAUUGCAGCUUCACACCUGCUCCUCUUUGUUCAUUAGCUGGAUCUCAGUGUUAUGCUUGGUUCCACUCAGCGUGAUAAGUUAUCUAUCGCUGAGGACACUUUUUCAUACUCUGUAAAAAGAGUUUGGGAGGGUGGCCAAGGUAAAUGCAGACGAACCGCUUCUAAUAGUCCAUUGACUUGGACAAUAAAUAUUUAUGAUCUGAUCUCAAAUC
rnacentral:misc_RNA from 1 species